CACGUAGGGCGCAAGCGUUGUCCGGAAUUAUUGGGCGUAAAGAGCUCGUAGGCGGUCUGUUGCGUCCGCUGUGAAAACUCGGGGCUUAACCCCGAGCCUGCAGUGGAUACGGGCAGACUAGAGGUAGGUAGGGGAGAAUGGAAUUCCCGGUGUAGCGGUGAAAUGCGCAGAUAUCAGGAGGAACACCAAUGGCGAAGGCAGCUCGCUGGGACGGUACUGACGCUGAGACGCGAAAGCGUGGGGAGCAAACAGG
rnacentral:rRNA from 1 species